rnacentral:rRNA from 1 species
UACGUAGGGUGCAAGCGUUUAAUCGGAAUUACUGGGCGUAAAGCGUGCGCAGGCGGUUUUGUAAGUCAGAUGUGAAAUCCCCGGGCUUAACCUGGGAACUGCGUUUGAAACUACAAGGCUAGAGUGUGGCAGAGGGGGGUGGAAUUCCACGUGUAGCAGUGAAAUGCGUAGAGAUGUGGAGGAACACCGAUGGCGAAGGCAGCCCCCCUGGGUCAAGAUUGACGCUCAUGCACGAAAGCGUGGAGAGCAAACAGG